rnacentral:rRNA from 1 species
CCCUUAGAUGUUCUGGGCCGCACGCGCGCUACACUGAUUCGUUCAUCGAGCUCCCAACCUUGACCGGUAGGUCUGGGUAAUCUUCUCAAAGCGAAUCGUGCUGGGGAUAGAUUAUUGUAAUUUUUAAUCUUCAACGAGGAAUUCCUAGUAAACGCAAGUCAUCAACUUGCAUUGAUUACGUCCCUGCCCUUUGUACACACCGCCCGUCGCUACUACCGAUUGAAUGGCUUAGUGAGCUCCAUAGAUGGUUCGGUAAUGGGGGGUUUCUCCUGUUGCUUUACCAGAAGUGGAUCAAACUUGAUCAUUUAGAGGAAGUAAAAGUCGUAACA